CCUCAAACGGAGAUUGAAGACGUAUGAAUAUAAAGUAAACGUUUAAAGACAGAAAGAGUUUCAUCAUCUUAAAUGUAAUGCGAUUGAGUGCUUAGUGAAUCAGAAUAUGACUUUACUGAUAUAUCUGCUGUUCCUACAACUUCUUAAAGCCACAGAGACUAUGGAAGGCCGUGAUAAAAUAAAGAUUAAUAAUCAAGACAUGACUGAAAUGGAAUUUCAAGCGUACUUUGGUGAAGUACCUGAAAAUCAAGAUUACGAAGUGUCAUACCUGACUCCUGUGGACGGACGCGGUGAAGAAGUUUCCAGGAAACGAGUCAUAAGAGAUACAUCGGAUGAAAAACAAAUAUUUUAUAACAUUUCUGUGCUUGGCUUUACUUUUCAUUUAAAUUUAACACUGAAUGGACAGUUAUUAGCACCAAACUUUUAUAUUGAAACAAAGCAUAGCAAUGGAUCAAUAACAAAGUCACCUCCAGCUCAUAGAAACUUUUACCAUGGACAUGUGACCUCCUACCAAGAUUCUAAAGUUGCUUUGAGUGGAAAAGAUAAAUUGAGAGGUGCAAUUGUAAUAUCAGACGAUCAUUUGUUCGAAGUUCAUCCUCUUCCUGAUCAUUUGUCAAAGGAUAGCGAGAAAGAAAAUUUGCCGCAUUUAGUUAUAAAAAGAUCUUUUGCAGCUUCGAAGCCAAUCUUCUUUGAUGUGGAUUUCAGUGAUAAUGGCUGGAAUGAAACUUACACAGGGAAGAGAGGAACAGACAAAAGGGAAUUAGACGGUCAAAUUCAUAAAAAAACUAAAUUUUUAGAAGUGAUUUACGUAGCUGACCAGAAUGCUGUAGAUUUUUAUGGGUUGAAUGACUUACCUGAAGUGUUGCUAUCUAUUGGGAAUAUUGUUUCACAGUUAAUCUAUGGAAUUAGUUACAACGAUCCUAACGUUAUUUACAUCAUUAACAGAAUAUGUCUUGUGAAUGAUAAAACGUUGUCUUCCGCGAAAAGUGCAAGCAUGUUACAUAAACUACAUGCAAUAACAGACUGGGCGUUAGUCAAUAAUAUUGCGGCCGACAGCAACACAAACCAGGCUGAUCAAACAGUGUUGUUCACCAGGCACAACGGAGGAGGAAUUGCCACCCUGGGAGUUCUUUGUCGACGACAUGAUGCAAGUGCGGUCGUCUCGCUUCAAGGAUUAAGUUCAUCCUUUGUUUGCGCUCAUGAAAUUGGUCACAGUUUGGGAUAUGGUCACGAUGGUUAUGGAAAGAACCAAAACUGUCCCGAUGGUGUUAACAUAAUGUCAAGGUACACGCCUGGUGGUCCAGGUGCCUGUAAAUGGUCAAGCUGUACAAAAAGAUAUGCUGCAAAUUUCUUGAGGUCUGAUCGUUCUCAUUGUCUUGACAACUUGUCUACACUUCAAGGACCAACGCAAUCGCCAUUUCUUCACGCUAAAUUACCCGGCGAGGUUUUCAACGCUGAUGAACAAUGCGAAAUGAUAUUUGGUACUGGAACGAAACAGUGUCGAACCAAGAAAAACAUUUGUUCCUCAUUGUACUGUGCAAAAAGCAGCUACUCGUGUUCCUAUAUUCUCUCCCCGCCUGCAGAUGGUACAAGAUGUGGAGAAAGAGAAUGGUGUAUCCAUGGUGAAUGUGUUGAUGAUGGUUCUCCUAGGAUCAAUGGUAACUGGGGUGAAUGGUCUACGUAUUCACCAUGUACAAGAUCUUGUGGCGGCGGAACUCAACACAGAACGAGACAAUGUGACAAUCCAAGCCCAGCCAACGGUGGGAUGAAAUGCAUUGGAUCACAUCUAAGCCGACAUGUUUUGUGCAACCAAAAGCCUUGUCCUAAAGGGCAACCAUCGUAUAGACAUCUCCAGUGUCAGAAGGCAGGAUACUCGAAGUCUCAUUAUUUAUCAAAACGAGCUUGUUCGUUGUGGUGUGAGAAAAGCGGGGGAAUCUUUUACCUCGGGCGCGUAAAAGAUUCAACACCUUGUACGGAGAAUCCAUAUGACAAUGAUGUUUGCAUUAGUGGAAGAUGUCAGAGAAAGAGAACGAUCGCUGUGGUAUAUGUGACGGCGGUGGGAACACUUGUGCUAAACGCGAAAUGCAUUUUAAAAAGAGAUUGGAAUGGGUAUUUGGCACUUCCCAUCCUUACUUUGUGAUCAUACUUAAGAAGGGUUUUUCGAAUAUUAUUGUAAAAGAGACGGUAGCAACUUGGAAUUGGAUUGGCGUACGAAAUAUGAAGGGUGAAUAUUUGAUUCGACUCCCAACAUAUUCAAAGACGAUUUAUAAAGCUGGCACAAAAAUUUCCUAUAUUCAG
rnacentral:misc_RNA from 1 species